rnacentral:tRNA from 1 species
GCCAGUGUGGUUCAAUGAUUAGAGCAUUAGCCCACACAUCAAAGGGUCACAGGUUCGAUUCCUGGUCAGGGGCA